GGGCCUGACAGGUUUCGACGGGGCGUUUUAAGUUGAAGAAGCUAUCCGCAGGUGUGCGUCAAACCCAAAAUUAAACUAAACGCUGAAGAUAAUUUAGCACUGGCUGCCUAAGUGCAGCCCGUCCUUCUCACCCCACCUGCAGGGUGAGGUAAGGGCGUCGGAUUGCAGGAAACGCGUAUGCAAAGCUUUGAGCAUGCGGCAGAUCCAUGAAGCUACUGAAACCGUAUCCGCUGUCUUUGGCGGUGCGGCAGAGGGAAUGUCCAAGCAAAGACUAUGAUAGUAGAAGGGCAAUGGCGAGCGUUUCGGACAGGGGUUCAAAUCCCCUCAGGUCCAU
rnacentral:tmRNA from 1 species